AGUGCCGAGUUAAAGGAAGCAUACUGGUCUUCUUUUACUUCUAAAUCCGCCUUCUAACUAGGUUUCAUAAUAGUUUUUCGUAUGGUCUAAAGUAGAUAGUGUAGCCCAUCUCUUUCCACUUCAUAUGCUGCACCUUGACCUGACGUGUUGACGCAAGGGCAUUAAGCUCACUAGUUAGCGCUCACGGGGUAAGCUGACGACGGAGGUAUACAGGCUGAUAGACUAAAAGUGGUGAGGUAAAACGGGGGUUAUCGAUUAUAGGACAGGCUCCUCUAGGUGGAUUUGGGGUACCGUCAAGUCCCUUGGGUUUUAAGCU
rnacentral:rRNA from 1 species